rnacentral:rRNA from 1 species
AUUGAACGCUGGCGGCAGGCCUAACACAUGCAAGUCGAGCGGAUGAAGAGAGCUUGCUCUCUGAUUCAGCGGCGGACGGGUGAGUAAUGCCUAGGAAUCUGCCUGGUAGUGGGGGACAACGUCUCGAAAGGGACGCUAAUACCGCAUACGUCCUACGGGAGAAAGCAGGGGACCUUCGGGCCUUGCGCUAUCAGAUGAGCCUAGGUCGGAUUAGCUAGUUGGUGAGGUAAUGGCUCACCAAGGCGACGAUCCGUAACUGGUCUGAGAGGAUGAUCAGUCACACUGGAACUGAGACACGGUCCAGACUCCUACGGGAGGCAGCAGUGGGGAAUAUUGGACAAUGGGCGAAAGCCUGAUCCAGCCAUGCCGCGUGUGUGAAGAAGGUCUUCGGAUUAUAAAGCACUUUAAGUUGGGAGGAAGGGCAGUUACCUAAUACGUGAUUGUUUUGACGUUACCGACAGAAUAAGCACCGGCUAACUCUGUGCCAGCAGCCGCGGUAAUACAGAGGGUGCAAGCGUUAAUCGGAAUUACUGGGCGUAAAGCGCGCGUAGGUGGUUUGUUAAGUUGGAUGUGAAAUCCCCGGGCUCAACCUGGGAACUGCAUUCAAAACUGACUGACUAGAGUAUGGUAGAGGGUGGUGGAAUUUCCUGU